CCUACGGGGAGCUGCAGUGGGGAAUAUUGCACAAUGGGGGAAACCCUGAUGCAGCAACGCCGCGUGGGUGAAGGAGCGUUUCGGCGCGUAAAGCCCUGUCAGCGGGGAAGAAGAAAGACGGUACCCGACCAAGAAGCCCCGGCUAACUACGUGCCAGCAGCCGCGGUAAUACGUAGGGGGCGAGCGUUAUCCGGAAUUACUGGGUGUAAAGGGAGCGUAGACGGCGAGGUAAGCCUGAAGUGGAAGCCCGCGGCCCAACCGCGGAACUGCUUUGGGAACUGUUUUGCUGGAGGAUGGGAGGGGUAAGCGGAAUUCCUAGUGUAGCGGUGAAAUGCGUAGAUAUUAGGAGGAACACCAGUGGCGAAGGCGGCCUGCUGGACAGAAACUGACGUUGAGGCUCGAAAGCGUGGGGAGCAAACAGGAUUAGAUACCCCGGUAGUC
rnacentral:rRNA from 1 species